GUGAAGCUGGGAGUUCGCCCUUAACCGUGUUAUCUUCUUUCUUUUCACACGGGUGAUGAAAGCACCCCGGGGGGUGAUUGACUGUUCUGUUGGAGUGGCAGAACAUAAUUGAGUGCCCGGCCCUUCUCACUAUAAGGAGACUUUGUCCCUUUGUUGCCCGAUGUCACACUUGUCAGUUGGUGAAGAUUGAGCAUCAGAGGCCAAAUGAUUGUUAUUCCACUUACAGUACCUCUAUCGAAGCAGAACAAGUCUAAUAUUCCACCCCCUGUUUUCUGGGAUUCUAUUUCGAUCCAAACCCGACACAUCCACUGCACGAUCCUUUUCAGCUGUAGUUCCGGGAUUGGAUUUACAAGGGGGGCGGGAAUUCUUUGUUAGCUUUAUAGCAAUCCGGUUCAAAGCCAGAUUGGCCCACUUAUUCGAAUAGAAAGAAGAGGAAGACAAACUAGCCAAGGGACAGAAAAAGGUAGAGACCAACCACCGAAACAAGGGAGUAAGGGCUAGGGGUAUAUGGGCCCAGAAAGGUCCGAUGUAUCGGUCAGCUAUACCUAAUCCUUCACUCAAAAACGCAUCACCCUUUGUAGGAUCAAGCCGAAGUCAAGCAUGAUCACCUACUGCAAACCCCAAAUAUCGUGCUCGGCGUACCUGGUCCUGAGCAGCUUUUAAUCUAGAAUAAGUGGAAUCUUCUCGGCACUCUCCUUCAUCUUCUGUGGCCCCGUCGGUCGGUACGUGCCAACCCCAACAAAUCGGGGUACGACAAAGGUUCCCGUAGAGUGCUUCGAAAGGUGCCAUUCCGAUGCUAGAGUGAUAGCAGUUGUUGUAAGCAAACUCGGCUAAUGUAUCUCUAUGCCAAUUUAGUAGGCCUGCUCAUUGAUGCUCUUCGGGUCGAUUGUAUGGGAUGUGAAUCGUUCAGGUAGGCAUCUCGGGACCAAAAAUCAGAAUCAAGGGCAUGACCGAAACCGGUGAUUAAUGCUCCACCCUCGGAGCUCUUAGAAAACUUCCUUUUCUUUGAGAAGCAGAACAAAGUACCUUUAGGAGACCUAGUUAGUGACUGGGCAGGACAGGUCAGCAGGUCUUUCAUGAACAGAGGAGCCAACCCUUAUGGGAGUGCCAAAGAAGUGUUCUUGUGUCCCCCCAUGGGCAAGGCAAUCUCGGAAUAGGUGGAAGUGAGGUAAACAAGCCAAGGAGCGGCUUCGUGGACAGGGGUUCGUGGGACUAGAAAUAAGAGAAGAAUCAAGGCCAUGCUCGGGUCUGCCCAGGCGUGGAACAAUCUUCCUCUGGUACAAAGGCGCAAUGCAAAUUCAUUGUCAAAUCGUCUUCACGCCAUCUGCAUUCAGUUGAAGAAUGUCAGAAUAUCAAUGCCUUUCAUCAUGAAAUCAAACGCGGAGUCUGUAACAGUUUUGAUCAAUCCGUCGAAUUGGGUAUCAUAGGCUAUCUUGGUUCGGGGAUAUCUUUGCUCUGUCACGGUACGAAUGAGAUAAAAUGUGGGUUAAGCUGGAGAUGCUACUGGUGAUCGGCCAUCUAGCUCUAAGCGGGCCCCUUAAGGUGGUCAUCUUAUUCUAUCACCAACAUUUUGUGUAGCUCAUACAAAGUCAGCAUAGCUAGCAGCUCUAGCACCCAUCCCUAUCGUUCUCGAGGGCGAGAGGCCAACAAUCGAUAAAAUCUAUCCAUCGAUUUAUGCAGUUCCAUAAAAAAAGGGAAGAAAUUCAUUGCUGAGGGAUAAAUGAGCCAUGAACAUGAUGAGAAAAGCACGUGGUAACAAAAUCGAAUGAAAGUACUGCCUAUUACUGAUCGAAACCUAGCGCAUCAUGUUUCGAGUCGCCAGGUGUUUAUUCUCUUGGAAGCUAACCUACUCUCCCACCCUAUUCUAUCUAUCUUUCCUCUUACUAGUAGGAUCGGAGAUGGUCGUACCACUGAAAUAUGGCACGAUCAGUGGAUAGAUGGACUACUGAACAAUGAAGCCGUUAGGGAGAAUGACUGAUGACCCAGUUCAGUUAGUUGCCGAUCUCAUGUUGCAGACGUGUCUGUCUUGCAAUCGGAGGGGCCGGCCGGAUUCCCUACAAAUAAAUUCUGUAUUAAGAAACGAAGGAAGAGUGCGCGUUCGGACCUCAACUAGUCUCCGUGCUCGUCGGGGCCAGUUUUAAGCUUUCAGAGAGUGGUCAUCAUACCCUUGCUUUCAGGCUUGGGCUUGGCGGAUCCUCUAAGUAAUGGGUACGUAGGUUUUGUGUCUGUCUUAUGUCAUCCUGGUGAUUUAUCAUCGGAAUAGCUCAGUUCGAGGGAGGGGGGGGGUGGUAAGCUGAAGCGUCGAAUAGUCUUUUUAGUGUACAGUGUCUUGGUUUCGGUUCGAUCAACUAUCCGCUUCAAAAAGGAUAGUUCACAGUGUGCUCAUUCUCAAAAAAAUAAAAAAACUUCAACGUUUCGUUGGUAAAACCAACGCCGACGUCAAACAAGUCUCUCCUAAUAAGGAGGGCUGAGAUUCUAUUUUAACACUCCGAGUCCGAUGUCCGCAUUUAAAAAACUUUUCACCCAACGAAGGUGGGUGCACACAGAAACAACAAGCGAGUUGCUUCUCGCUGUGGCCCCAUACCUGCCACAAAUAACAGAUCAAAUAGUGGACUGCCUCCCGCAGAUAGCAGAAACGGUAGGCCGUGACGUUCACUCAGUGGCGGAAACCACUACCGGUCUGCCCCAGCUACAAGGGGAGGCUGGCCCAAGUAGUUCAUCUACACUCUUCAAUCCAACCGUAGAAGCAUUACCUUUCCUGGAAAUGGAUGUAAAUAAAAUAACCACAAAUUUUAAAAAUUCUUAUGUGGGUAAGCUCAACGAAAAGGAAAUCGUUUUACUUGCUUCUCAAACUUUUCAAUUGAAAAGGAAAAUCCUGAAUGAACUGGCUCUUUUAGCAGGGGAGGAAAAUGGCCCCCUCCUUUUCAAUACGACUGGUGCUGAUGAUAUUCUCACCACCCUUUCAAGGGCCGAGUAUAAACGGAGUUAUCUUGAACUAAUAAGCAAAAGCUUAGUUAGGAAGGGCACAGAAAGUUGUUAUUAUAAAACCCUUUUGCAAAAGAGGUUGGAAGAGUUUCCAAAUACUUGGG
rnacentral:lncRNA from 1 species